AUCUCAAUUUUUCACCAUUCAGUGUUUCAGUGCUGUGACGACUUCCACUGCUUCUUCGUGUACUACAGGUCAUCGCACCAAGUAUCUUGUAACUACGAGCUUGCACUCUAGAGAACAUAUCUCUCCACUACUGAGACUGAAUUGUAGAGCAUGCAUCUCACAACUACUAAGACCCCAUUCUAAGUGCACAUGACACUUCUGCAGUGCGGUCUCACGAAUUCCGCU
rnacentral:sRNA from 1 species